CAAUCUGUCAUGGACCAGUGAGUCUAUGAAAUACCAUAAAAAUGAAUGAUCAGAAAAACGAAAUAAAGGUAAACAGACACAUAAAACGCAAGCCUCGUUUUUAUUAUUAGUUUUAAAAGACAAAAAUCAACUUUAUCAAGUUGCUGAAAAACGUUCUGCAUGGUGGCUCUCCGAAGGCACGGGCCUGUCUCCUCUCACUGGAAUGAGUGCUUUGGGCUGUGGCCUUCUCCCGCAGCUCACAGAUAGUGUAGCACUGGUCCAGCCUUCAUCUGUGCAAGCCACAAUGAGGAGUCAGUUGCUGCUGCUGCGGCAGCCUUUGUUACAGAGCCCAACCUUGGAGCUACAGACUCCUGAAUGCUCCUGUAUCCGGACCUCAUGAUUCCUAGGCUCCUGGAGUCAAGACAGAGAGUCUGAGGGCAUUUUGGAGGAGGGUACAAUCUCAUCCUGUUUGCAAGCAUUUGGAUUUCAAUAUUAAGCAGAGUAACCAUACACAGGCCAAUGGGUGCUUUAGGGUACAAGGUCUGCACUGCUUUCCCUAGGCACUAGGAAGCAGAGUUCAUGUUCACUCCGUGAUGUAUGAGAUGCAGGUGUAGUGAAUACCGUUUUUCAGUAGAUAAGGUGGGACAUCUGGAGUCUCAACUUGACAGGAUUACAAAUGACCAAGGAGGCAGACCUCUGGGCAUGUCUGCGAGGGAGUGUUUAGCUGGGUUAGUUGAAAUGGGAUAAGUAAAUGAGGGGGACGGCAUACACAGACUGGAUCCUGGGCUGAAUCCAAAGGAUGACCUCCUCGCUAGUGCGCACCUGUCCCUGCUUUGGAUGCCAGCUACAGUGUGACCCACCAGCACCUCACACUCCUGCUGUGUCUUUCCUGCCAGGAUGGACUGUCCUCCUUCAAACCAUGAGCUGAAAAUCAACCCCUGUUCCCUCAAGACCAUUUUGUCAGGUGUUUUGCUAUGGCCAUGAGAAAAAUAACAGAUGCAGUAGGAAAUAUAAGCCAGGGCUUACAGAAAGGAGCCUGUCUAGAUGGCCCUAUAAAGUCUGGAUUUCGGGGAGUGAACUAAUAAGACAUUUACAAGGAAUGUCUGUGUUAAUGGCAGAAUUUCUGUUCCAACCUGAUUUCAGAAGCUCUGAGCACAAACAGGACCACCAGGGGUUCAGAAUCCAGAACCCAGAAAACUGUUCUUGCAGCUUAUUUUGAGAUGCACAGAGAGCUUUGUAUUUGACCCACUUAUUUAAUUUCUUUCCGUGGGAUCUAUUUCCAAAGGCAUGGUUUGCAAGCCACAAAAAUACUGCGUUAGUUCUCAUUGCUAGAAAUGUUGACUCAAAAACAAACAAACAAACAAACAAACAAAUAAAUGUGGGCUGGCAGGGUAGCUUAGCGAUGGGGCUGGAGAGAUGGUUCUGUGGUUAAGAGCACUGGCUGCUCUUUGAGAGGACCCAGGUCAGUUUUCAGCACUCAUAUGGCAGUUCACAGCUGUCCGCCACUCCAGUUUCAGGGGAUCCAGUGAACACUUCUGGCCUCUGAAGGCACCGGGCUUGCCUGUGACAUACAUGCUGACAAAAAUAUCCCUACAAAGAAAAUAAAUAAAUGCACAUUUUUUUUAAAAAGAUGGCGGAGGGGGUAAAGGUGCUUUUUCCAAGCCCGAUGGAAAAUAAAUGUCAAAAUAAAGAUGUUAAGGGAAACAGCAGGCUGAGAAAUAAAUAGACAAUACAAAGAAAGCGUGGGUUGGGAGGAAAGUGGGAUGGAGGGUCCUUGGGAGCUGCAGUCCGGAGCUAGGGAUGAGUAUAGUCAAGGUACAUUGUCUUCUAAGAAUAAAUAAAUACUAAAAUUUUAAAAAAGAAAAUGAACCAAUAUUACUUUAAACAAUUCUAAAAGGCCUUAUUUCUCAUUCUCUGUUCUAAAUAUUCCUCCCUGAUUGAUUUUCAUUACCUGAGAACAAACACCCAGGUAUGGGCUAUAGGGCUCUGCUGAUAGAGCAAAUCCAUGUGUGGUCUAGAAGUAUGAUAGCCUCAUGCAUAAACAUCAGCUGAGAACAGAGGUGAGGUAAUGGAAGGCUGAAUGCCCAGGAGACAAGCACUGCACACAUGAGAAAUACACUGCACACGUGAGAAAUACACUGCACACAUGAGAAAUAUACUGCACACGUGAGAAAUACACUGCACACAUGAGAAAUGCACUGCACACAUGAGAAAUACACUGCACACAUGAGAAAUGCACUGUACAUAGCAGCCUGUGAUCUGCCCUGCCUUUUCUCAAGUCCACAAUUAUAUGUAAGAGUGAGAAUUUUUCUCACUGCCUACCCUCAUGAAGUAGCACAAAGCCAUUCUCAGAUUCCUGCAUCCAGGAUCACGCUGAGGGACAGUGCCGUAAUCAGGGAGCCUUCCAUGAGCCUUCCUAGCCUGCUCCAAGUGUCUUGUUCUGAGACAUCAGAUGUGGUGACAUUGACACUUUACUGUGUGUCUUCCCCAUAGAGUUAACCCACUGUCUUCCAGACACUUUUGAGUUAGUAGCUACCAACUCAAUAAAAUAAAGACUAGAUCAGCUAUUGUGCAGAGAAUGGGAUUGCAAUUUGGAGAAAUGAGAGGAUUUGUGAGUUUGGUGUAAUUCUGUAUUUUAUUUUUAUGUGUGUUGAUGUGUGUGUGAUAUCCUUGACUAUAUAGCAAGUUUGACAGACAGACAGAGAGAGGG
rnacentral:lncRNA from 1 species